rnacentral:lncRNA from 1 species
GCCUGAGGAGAAACAGGGCCUGUGAGGGGUGGGAGGAGAGAAGUAAAAGGUUCCUCCCCUGAAGGGAAGAGUGUGGGUGUAAAGGUGACGCUGUCUGAGCAAGUAGGGAAGCUGCUGGUUGAAAAUCUGGGAGAAGAUGCAUGGCCUAGAGGCUGAGUGUUUUCUGCAUGUAUUUUAAGGGAAAAUGGCAGGCAAUUCCAUGCAGAGCUCUGGCUGAGAAACAUCUGCACAGCCUUUGCUCUGCAGAGAGGCUCCUCUGAAGGUGCCCCUUGCACACAAACCAGACCCUGGAUGUUCUCACACUUACGUCAGUUAACGUUGCCUGGUGCUGGAGGUGGCAUUGGGCAUAACCCAGCUUAUUAUGGCUGCUAUAUGGAUUGGCUUUGUGUGAAUGACCAUCUCCAUAUGCUGGCAAUAUCAAAGGUUCCUCUUUCCACCUCUCUUUGGACAGUGAUUGCUUCUCCUCCAUUUCUCCUGCUGUGUGCCAUGACAUGUCUUUUCUGCCGGUUCACAGGGAUGAGACUUUUAUAA